UACGGAGGGUGCGAGCGUUGUCCGGAAUCACUGGGCGUAAAGGGCGCGUAGGCGGCCUGAUAAGUCGGGGGUGAAAUCCUGCGGCUUAACCGCAGGGCUGCCUUCUAAACUGUCAGGCUAGAGCACAGUAGAGGCAGGUGGAAUUCCACGUGUAGCGGUGAAAUGCGUAGAGAUGUGGAGGAACACCAGUGGCGAAGGCGACUCUCUGGUCUGUAACUGACGCUGAGGAGCGAAAGCGUGGGGAGCAAGCAGG
rnacentral:rRNA from 1 species